GGUCUUAUAUUCAAUUAUGAUUCUAGACUGCAAUUCUAGCGGUGUAAGCUUUACUAAGGCCU
rnacentral:tRNA from 1 species